rnacentral:tRNA from 1 species
GGGGAUUUAGCUCAGUGGUAGAGCGCUUGCCUAGCAAGCACAAGGCCCUGGGUUCAAUCACCA